CCUCACUGCUAUCGGGGUGGGACUAAAACAUGCAAGUCGAGCGCCUCCAAGCUAUGGUGAAGGCGCGGCAUACGGCUCAGUAACACGUGGCCAACCUACCCUUGGGACGGAGACAACCCCGGGAAACUGGGGCUAAUCCCCGAUAGGUAAGGAAUCCUGGAAUGGAUCUUUGCUGAAAGGGCGUCUAGACCAUGCUUCUUGAUGUCGCCCAAGGAUGGAGCCGCGACCGAUCAGGCUGUUGGCGAGGCAACGGCUCACCAAGCCUAUAACCGGUACGGGCCGUGAGAGCGGGAGCCCGGAGAUGGGCACUGAGACAAGGGCCCAGGCCCUACGGGGCGCAGCAGUUGCGAAAACUCCACAAUGCACGAAAGUGCGAUGGGGCUACCCCGAGUGCCGUCCGCUGAGGACGGCUUUUCCACGGUGUAAGGAGCCGUGGGAAUAAGGAGAGGGCAAGCCUGGUGUCAGCCGCCGCGGUAAUACCAGCUCUCCGAGUGGUGAGGACGAUUAUUGGGCUUAAAGCGUUCGUAGCCGGCUUAACAAGUCUUCCGUUAAAUCCAACGAUCUAAUCGUUGGGCCGCGGGAGAUACUGUUGGGCUAGGAGGCGGGAGAAGCCGACGGUAUUCUCGGGGUAGGGGUGAAAUCCUGUAAUCCCGGGAGGACCACCAGUGGCGAAGGCGGUCGGCUAGAACGCGCUCGACGGUGAGGGACGAAAGCUGGGGGAGCGAACCGGAUUAGAAACCCGGAUAGUCCCAGCUGUAAACGAUGCGGGCUAGGUGUUGGGGUGGCCACGAGCCACCUCAGUGCCGCAUGGAAGCAAUUAAGCCCGCCGCCUGGGGAGUACGGCCGCAAGGCUGAAACUUAAAGGAAUUGGCGGGGGAGCACCACAAGGCGUGAAGCUUGCGGUUU
rnacentral:rRNA from 1 species